rnacentral:lncRNA from 1 species
CGGAGACGCCGAUGUGACCGUCGAGCAUACUCCUGCCUCGCCGGACGUCUUUGGAUUCGACGAUCCCAGCCCUAACUACUCCCAGGCUCCCUUUGAUCCGAUUCAUGUAGAGAAUGGAAAUGGAAAUGGCUAUGGUGCGGCUGAGGAUGAAGUUGGUGAUGGUGUGUUCGCAUCCGAUGGUCCAAUUCUUCCCCCUCCUAGCGAGAUGGGCGUGGAGGAAGGAUAUGCUCUUCGUGAAUGGCGUCGGUAAGAUCCUGUGACCCUCAAUUCAUUUUUUCAGAUUUCUUGGAACUGAAGAGGUUUUUCUUCUGCUGCUUGUGCUUUGUAUCUCGGUGUCGACUUAGAUCUGAUUCGUUGGCGAACAACUUCAGAUCUCUAUUAGUCAUCUCUUGCUAGUGUUUUUACUUGAUUGCACUGAUUGAUCUAGACUAUUUCUCCACUUUGUCUUAAUAGCUCUAUAUAGAGGGAUUUGAUGAGGGGAAUUAUAUUGAUCGAUUUGCAUUAAAAGGUGGUGAAUUAAAGAACUUAGAUCUAGGGAUAUCUGUACCUCAAUUGGUAGACUUCGAUGAAGAAGCUAUUUCAUUAGUGAGCUCUGAUCGAGGUUUUUAUUAGUAGAUCAGUUAGGCACAAGCCAUGGUGUCAAAUUUCUAAUUAUUAGUGGGUCUGUGUCGUUAUUGAUCUAUGUGGAAGUUCAAGCGGAAUUUAGGUUAAUUUCUCCAAGUUCAAGCAGAAUUCCAGCGGAUUAUUCGUAGAUCAGUCAGGGACAUAGCCAUUUAAGUCAAAUUACUAAUUAUCAGUUUGUGUAUAUUGUUGUUGAUCUAUGUGGAGGUUUAAGCGGAAUUCCAGCGGAAUUUGGUUGAUUAAUCAGGGAGAUAGCCAUUAAGUCAAAUUACUAUUAUUAGUGGAUGUAUAUUGUUGUUGAUCUAUGUGGACCGUGGAAGUUCAAGCGGGGUUCAGGUAAGUCUCUGGUAGAUAAGUAUGGACGAUUCGAUUUAGCCAUGACCCAUACAAAAAUGCAUGCGUGAUUCCUAAAGAGAAAUUGCAUGAUGUAUAUCAUCAAUUGAAAUCUUUUUAGCUAUUGUUUUAUUUUUCUUUGUUGUUUAGUUGUUUUAUUGGAUGUAACAAAAUGUCCUUGUUGACUUCCAUUUUCCUUUUAGAUCGCAGAAAGUGCAAUUUGUAAUGGAUAGCCAAUUUGAGUUUUGAAGAUGUAUUCAAGUAUAUAUCUAUUGUCUUUCGACUCUUUCCAAUUUUGAACUUUAGAAAUUAUGGGUUUUUUGGUGCAGCCAAAAUGCCAUUCAGCUUGAAGAGAAGGAGAAAAGGGAGAAAGAAUUGAGAAUUAAAAUUAUUGAAGAAGCUGAGGAGUAUAAAAUAGGUUUCUAUGAGAAAAGAAAGCUUAAUGUUGAGAGUAACAAGGUUAACAACAGAGAAAGAGAGAAGGUAUAGUUUUGUUUGCCAUCUUCUUUCAAGGGUGUGUUCUUCGUUUUCUUCUCUAGCUCUUUUUUCUUAGUAUAGAUUUUUCGCGUUUUUGGGGCAGCUAUACUUGGCAAAUCAGGAGAAGUUUCAUAAAGAGGCUGAUAAACAAUACUGGAAAGCAAUUGCAGAACUAAUUCCUAACGAAGUUCCUAAUAUUGAGAAAAAGAGAGGAAAGAAGGAUCAAGAAAAGAAACCAUCAAUACUAGUUGUUCAGGGUCCAAAGCCUGGGAAACCUACCGAUCUUUCAAGAAUGCGGCAAAUUCUCGUGAAAUUGAAGCACACACCCCCACCUCAUAUGAAACCACCACCACCCCCACCUGCCAAGGAUGCCAAGGACGCCAAGGACACCAAAGACGGCAAAGACGCUAAAGAUGGAAAGGAUGCCAAAAAUGAAAAAGAUGCAGCAACAAAAGCAUCCGACCCUACACCUGGGGCUGCCACGGCCAAUGGCACUUCUCACAAACCUCAAGAACCAAGUGUUGCUCCCGCUGCCGAUGAAGAUCAAACUGCUACAUAAUGACAUAGCCAUAGCCAUUAUCAACUUCUUUCUGCUCAAUACUUUUACAUUUUCCCUUUG